GUCGAAUGCUGGCGGCGUGUCUAAGGCAUGCAAGUCGAACGAUCCCUUUCGGGGAUAGUGGCAAACGGGAGAGUAACACAUUGGUAACUUACCCUGAACUCGCGAACAACCCAUGGAAACGUGGGCUAAUACGCGAUAUCGAUGGGGGGGACGCAAGUCAUUCCCAUUGAAAGUUCCGACGGUUCAGGAGAGGCCUAUGUCCUAUCAGCUAGUUGGUGAGGUAAAAGCUCACCAAGGCUACGACGGGUACCGGGCGUGAGAGCGUGACCCGGCUCACUGGGACUGAGACACUGCCCAGACUCCUACGGGAGGCUGCAGUCGAGAAGUCUUCCGCAAUGCACGAAAGUGUGACGGAGCGACGCCGCGUGUCGGAUGAAGGCCUUC
rnacentral:rRNA from 1 species